rnacentral:rRNA from 1 species
UUAAAUUGAGAGUUUGAUCCUGGCUCAGGAUGAACGCUGGCGGCGUGCUUAACACAUGCAAGUCGAGCGAUGAAGUUUCCUUCGGGAAACGGAUUAGCGGCGGACGGGUGAGUAACACGUGGGUAACCUGCCUCAUAGAGUGGAAUAGCCUUCCGAAAGGAAGAUUAAUACCACAUAACGUUGAAAGAUGGCAUCAUCAUUCAACCAAAGGAGCAAUCCGCUAUGAGAUGGACCCGCGGCGCAUUAGCUAGUUGGUGGGGUAACGGCCUACCAAGGCGACGAUGCGUAGCCGACCUGAGAGGGUGAUCGGCCACAUUGGGACUGAGACACGGCCCAGACUCCUACGGGAGGCAGCAGUGGGGAAUAUUGCACAAUGGGGGAAACCCUGAUGCAGCAACGCCGCGUGAGUGAUGAAGGUUUUCGGAUCGUAAAG